rnacentral:lncRNA from 13 species
CACUGACCUUUCUCUCAAAAUGAUCAGAGAUAGUUCAGAUCUUUGACUCCUGUAGUCCAAUCACAGACCUUGACAUUUAAACCAGGAGCAAAUAUUCGUGUGGCUUUUUAAAAAAAAUCAUGGCUUGUUGAUUAUAAUUAAGUUUCAGUCUUUCCUUCUGGUCGAUCAGAAUUAUCACCUCCCAGGACCUAUGGGAUGGUCACCUCAUGCCUCAGAAUGUUGUGGAGCAGGCGAUCCUGGCGUCUCUGAGUCAAGAGAGCUCGUUCAGUCACCUGCUUUGCGCUCCCCACCUCUGCCACCUCCUUCCCAGUUGGAACGGCUGGUCUC